AACCGGGUAGUGAAUCACCCAGGUGGUUCUGGUUUUGAAGGCACGAAGGCGUCAUGAACAGCAGUGGAGGGCUGGCCCUGUGCGGCAAGGCUGGAGUCCCUGAAUAAAGCCCAGGACAGGUGAAAGUACAGCUAAGUUGCUGCAGGGGAUCCCAGCAUUUUUUAAAUGACGGUACUAUGGGAUGACCACAAAGGACGGCAGCAGAUGUGGUGUGGAGAUGGCCUGAGCUUAGGAGACAGUUUCUGUGUGCAGCAGAGGGAGGAGCCAGAGAAGCAACCCAAGCCCUUUGGAGGAGCCCAGGAGAUCAUGGUUGAAUUUGGCCAGAUGCUCAGAGUGUGAACAUAACCUCCGAAGCUGCUUUGCAGUGAGCGUUGUAGAAGAAUUUCCAAGGAGGAUUGGUCUAAGACACAAGAUGACUUGCAUCAUGAAGGGCAUGGCUGCUUUUCAUUAUGAGUUUCCUGAUGGGCCUCGAGUUCCUCACAUCUUCUGUGCAAGCAGGAAGUAGUCACAACAACAAUGACACAGUGUGACCCAUCCACCAAGGACGUCUUAUUCCCUUUCUUCUAUGAAUUACUCUUACAUCCCUGCAUUUAUCUUUGUCAGUUUUGAGAUGUGCUGUUGUUUCUGAGGGUUGCACUUCAUUCAUCCCCAUCAGCUUCUGAAGAAACCUUUGUUACUCAGAGAGCACUAGGCUGGCACUUAACAUUGAAAAUGCCAAGCCAAUGUCUCUGUCCCCUGAAAACUGCUUCUAGGUCAAGGGGGACUUCCUAUGAUGUGAGGUAGGUUUUUUCACCACCUUAAACCCUUCUGCCUUUUUUACGUUCUUGAUCCGAUUGUCAGAUUCUCACUGAUGUGAAAGCCAGAGUAAAAGCAUUAAGCUUCACGGAAAGGUGAACCUUGAAACCAUGGUUGCUGCUCAAACAGCUUUUUCUGUAGUACUUCAUGUAGUACCUGCUGUAAUAUAGCUUCCCUGUCUACUUAAAACUUGACUUCUAGAUAUGGUAAACUGCUUUUAUCUUUGGAAAGAUAAAAGCAAGCAUUGAAAAUCUGUGAAAAAUGUCUUGGGUUAGGCAAGACAGUUCAGAACAGUCGUAGGAUACAAAAUCAACUCAGGAACUCCAGCAGCCUUCCUAUAUACAAUGAAAAACAUACUGAAGAGGAAGUCAGGAAAGAAUGCCACUCCCAGGAGCCUCAGAACUGCCUUGGAAUACAGCUAAUCAAGGAAAACGAAGACUUGUACAAUGGCAACUUCAAGACUGAAAAAAGAAAGUAGAAGAAGGUACCAGAAGAUGGAAAGACAGCCCAUGCUCAUGGGUUGGUAAGAUUAGUGUUAUCAAAAUGACCAUCCUACAAUCAGCAAUCUAUAGAUUCAAUAAAGUUUGCAUCAUAAUUUCAAUUCAAUUUCUCAUAGGUACUGUAAAAUAUCUUAAUUUUCAUGUGGAAAUAUAAAAGAUCCAGGAUAGUCAAAAUAAUCUUCAACAACAACAACAACAACCAACCCUGCUGAGGUAUCAGUGCACCAGAUUUUACAUUUUACUAUAGAGCUACAGUAAUAAAAAAACAGUAUGGUGUUAGCAUCAAAACAAAUAUACUGGUUAAUGGAAUGGAACUAAGGAUCCACACAUAAACCCAGACUCCUACAGUCACCUGAUUUUUUUUUUUUUUUUUUUGGAAAAGAGGCCAAUAUUACACAUUGCACAAGAGACAGCAUCUUCAACAACUAGACAAAUACUGCCACUCAAACUGAUACCUACAUGUAGAAGAAUGAAAUUCAGUCAGUUCUUAUAGUCAUAAAAUUCAACUCCAAAUGGAUCAAAUUCCUGAUAUCCUGAGUCGGAUUUCUGCUCAGAAAGCAGGGACUACACUUUCUUAGAGGCACAGAAAAGGAAAAUCUGACCAGGAUCCUGAUGGUGCAGGCAUUAAGACCAACCACUGACAAGGGACCUCCUGGAAACUUAAAUAGUAUCUGUAUGGCAAACCAUUAUUUGAAUGAGGCAGCCAACAGAAGGAGAAAAAAUCCUGACCACCAAUACAUCUGCCAGAGGGUUAAUGGGUAGAACAUACAAAGAACUAAAGCAAAACAAAACCCUUAAACAUUAAGAAGACAAAC